rnacentral:rRNA from 1 species
GAUGAACGCUGGCGGCGUGCCUAAUACAUGCAAGUCGAGCGAACGGACGAGAAGCUGGCUUCUCUGAUGUUGUCGGCGGACGGGUGAGUAACACGGGGAUAACCUAACUAUAAGACUGGGAUAACUUCGGGAAACCGUAUCUAAGACCGAAUGAUAUUUUGAACCGCAUUGUUCAAGAGUUGAAUUCGGUCGUGCUUUCACUUAUAGAUGAAUCCGCGCUGCAUUAGCUAGUUGGUAAGGUAACGGCUUACCAAGGCAACGAUGCAGAGCCGACCUGAGAGGGUGAUCGCACACACUGGCUGAGAGAAACGGCCCAGACUCCUACGGGAGGACGCAGUAGGGACUCCUACGCAAAGGGGGAAAGCGUGACGGAGCAAAGUCGCGUGAGUGAUGAAGGUCUUCGGCUGGUAAAACUAUGUUAUUAGGGAAGAAGAUAUGUGCAAGUAACUGUGAACAUAUUGACGGUACCUAAUCAGAAAGCCACGGCUAACUACGUG